rnacentral:rRNA from 1 species
GUGUGAGCAUGCAUGGCUGUCGCUGACUUGAAACACAAAGGUCGUGCACGCCAGAGUGUGUCCUCUCACAUAAAAUCCAUCUCACCCUUUUUGUGCACCACCGCGUGGGCUCCCUUUGGGAUCAAACCAAUCCAGGAGGGGGCUCGCGUUUUCACCACAAACCCCUUUUUAAAAGUGUAGAAUGACCCUGUCUUUGCGAUAACACGCAAUCAAUACAACUUUCAACAACGGAUCUCUUGGCUCUCGCAUCGAUGAAGAAUGCAGCGAAAUGCGAUACGUAAUGUGAAUUGCAGAAUUCAGUGAAUCAUCGAAUCUUUGAACGCACCUUGCGCCCCUCGGUAUUCCGAGGGGCACACCCGUUUGAGUGUCGUGAAAAUCUCAACCUUCUUGGUUAUGCCAAAGAAGGCUUGGACUUUGGAGGCCUUUGCUGGUGUUUCUCUCUUUCAGAAGCCAGCUCCUCUUAAAUGAAUUAGUGGGGUCCUCUUUGCUGAUCCUUGACGUGUGAUAAGAUGUUUCCAUGUCUUGGUUUCUGGCUCUGUCACUUUUGGGACCCGCUUCUAACCGUCUUGACCUUGCACCGAGACAAUGUUUGAGUGUGUCUCCCUUCUCGGGAAGUGCUCUCAAUCCCACAAACCCUUGGACUCAAAUCGGGUGAGACUACCGUGACUUA